GACGAACGCUGGCGGCGUGCCUAAUACAUGCAAGUAGAACGCUGAAGCGAGGAGCUUGCUCUUCUUGGAUGAGUUGCGAACGGGUGAGUAACGCGUAGGUAACCUGCCUUGUAGCGGGGGAUAACUAUUGGAAACGAUAGCUAAUACCGCAUAACAAUGGAUGACACAUGUCAUUUAUUUGAAAGGGGCAAUUGCUCCACUACAAGAUGGACCUGCGUUGUAUUAGCUAGUAGGUGAAGUAAUGGCUCACCUAGGCGACGAUACAUAGCCGACCUGAGAGGGUGAUCGGACACACUGAGACUGAGACACGGCCCAGACUCCUACGGGAGGCAGCAGUAGGGAAUCUUCGGAAAUGGGGGCAACCCUGACCGAGCAACGACGCGUGAGUGAAGAAGGUUUUCGGAUCGUAAAGCUCUGUUGUAAGUCAAGAACGGGUGUGAGAGUGGAAAGUUCACAAUGUGACGGUAGCUUACCAGAAAGGGACGGCUAACUACGUG
rnacentral:rRNA from 1 species